rnacentral:rRNA from 1 species
UACAGAGGUCCCAAGCGUUGUUCGGAUUCACUGGGCGUAAAGGGUGCGUAGGUGGCCGGGAAAGUUUGAUGUGAAAGCUCGGAGCUCAACUCCGAAAUGGCAUUGAAUACUAUCUGGCUUGAGGGUCGGAGGGGAGACUGGAAUUCUCGGUGUAGCAGUGAAAUGCGUAGAUAUCGAGAGGAACACCAGUGGCGAAGGCGAGUCUCUGGACGACACCUGACACUGAGGCACGAAAGCUAGGGGAGCAAAC